rnacentral:pre_miRNA from 1 species
UUAAUACUCCCUCCGGCCGAAAAAACUUGUCCCUCAAAUGGAUGUAUCUAGCAUCAAGUUAGUGCUAGAUACAUCCAUUUGAGGGACAAACUUUUUCGGACAGAGGGAGUAUUAC